AACGCACAUUGCGCCCACCAGUAUUCUGGUGGGCAUGCCUGUCCGAGCGUCAUUUCAACCCUCAGCUCAGCUGGUGUUGGGGAUUGCUUUCUACGAAUAGCAGCCCUGAAAUGUAUUGGCGGCUUCCGUCCCUCCUCUGUGCAGUAACUACUACCACACUGGACUAAGGAAAGUCUGCCGUUAACACCCCUUUUGGGUUAAUAACCCUAGGACACUCAGGUUGACCUCGGAUCAGGUAGGAAUACCCGCUGAACUUAA
rnacentral:misc_RNA from 1 species